rnacentral:rRNA from 1 species
AAAAGUUACAAAGGGCGUACGGCGGAUGCCUAGGCUCUCAGAGGCGAAGAAGGACGUGAUAAGCUGCGAAAAGCUACGGGGAUUGGCACAUACGAAUUGAUCCGUAGAUAUCCGAAUGGGGCAACCCGGCAUGUUGAAGGCAUGUCACCUAUUUAUAGGAGCGAACGUGGGGAACUGAAACAUCUAAGUACCCAUAGGAAAAGAAAUCAAAUGAGAUUCCCAAAGUAGUGGCGAGCGAAAUGGGAAAAGCCCAAAAGCGUAUAUAUAUUUAGUAGAAUAACCUGGAAAGGUUAACCAAAGAGGGUGAUAGUCCUGUACAUGAAGGGUAUAUAUAUGUUAAAUUGAGUAGGGCGGGACACGUGAAAUCCUGUUCGAAAAUGGGGGGACCAUCCUCCAAGGCUAAAUACUCCUGAGAGACCGAUAGUGAACUAGUACUGUGAAGGAAAGGUGAAAAGUAUAUCGAAUAGAUAGUUGAAAUAGAACCUGAAACCGUGCGCCUACAAGCGGUCGGAGCACAUUAAGUGUGACGGCGUGCCUUUUGCAUAAUGAGCCUACGAGUUAAUGUCACUGGCAAGGUUAAGUUGUUCAGCAACGGAGCCGAAGCGAAAGCGAGUCUGAAUAGGGCGAUAUAGUCAGUGGUAUUAGACGCGAAACCUUGUGAUCUACCCAUGGGCAGGUUGAAGCUUUGGUAACACAAAGUGGAGGACCGAACCGGUUGACGUUGAAAAGUCUUCGGAUGACCUGUGGGUAGGGGUGAAAGGCCAAUCAAACUGGGAAAUAGCUCGUACUCCCCGAAAUGCAUUUAGGUGCAGCGUUUAGUAAAGUGUCUUAGAGGUAGAGCUACUGAUUGGAUGCGGGGGCUUCACCGCCUACCAAUUCCUGACAAACUCCGAAUGCUAAGACAUGUUUCUAGGCAGUGAGGGCAUGGGUGCUAAGGUCCAUGUCCGAGAGGGAAAGAACCCAGACCAUCAGCUAAGGUCCCCAAAUGUAUGCUAAGUUGAAAAAACGCGGUUGGACUGCAUAGACAGCUAGGAUGUUAGCUUGGAAGCAGCUAUUCAUUUAACGAGUGCGUAACAGCUCACUAGUCGAGCGGUCCGGCAUGGAUAAUAAUCGGGCAUAAGUAUACUACCGAAGCUAUGGAUUACAUACGUAAGUAUGUACUGGUAGGGGAGCAUUCUAUCGGCGCAGAAGCUGUCUGGUAAUGGACAGUGGAGCUUAUAGAAAAGAAAAUGUAGGCAUGAGUAACGAUAAAAUAAGUGAGAAACUUAUUCGCCGUAAGAUCAAGGGUUCCUAAGCUAUGCUAAUCAGCUUAGGGUUAGUCGGGUCCUAACAUGUACCCUUUGGGGGAAGUGGAUGGCAAACGGGUUAAUAUUCCCGUACCUGCUCUCAAUAAAAGUGACGUAUGAAUGUAUUAAGUGCGUGCUGACGGAAUAGCACGUUGAACCUAGGUAAACUAGGGAUAGUACACAAAGGUUUCGGCUGGAGUGAUAAUCUUAAGAAGUUUGUACCAAGAAAUAGCGAGAGAAGCAGCCCGUACCGUAAACCGACACAGGUGAUCGAGGAGAGUAUCCUAAGGCGCUCGAGUGAGUCGUGGUUAAGGAAUUAGGCAAAAUAGACCUGUAACUUCGGGAGAAAGGUCGCUCCCUUGAGAGGGGGAGCCGCAGAAAAAAGGCCCAGGCGACUGUUUAUCAAAAACACAGGACUCUGCAAAAUCGAAAGAUGACGUAUAGGGUCUGACACCUGCCCGGUGCUGGAAGGUUAAGGAAGGGGGUUAGAGGUAACUCGAAGCUCUUAACUGAAGCCCCAGUAAACGGCGGCCGUAACUAUAACGGUCCUAAGGUAGCGAAAUUCCUUGUCGGGUAAGUUCCGACCUGCACGAAUGGUGUAACGAUCUGGGCACUGUCUCAACCACGAGCUCGGUGAAAUUGU